GAUGCAGUGAUGAGGUGAAGGCACUCCCAGAGGCUGUCGAUCGAUGGGGGGGCAGUGAAUCACUCCGAGAGCUCAUUUCUUUCAACAAACGACUUCUCCUUCCACUGAGCAAC